UUGCGUAUGUGUGUGAUAUAUAUAUAUAUAUAUAUAUAUAUUUAUAUAUAUAUAUAUAUAUAAGGUUAAGCCAAACGGGAAAACAGAAAAAACAACAACACGUGGAACAAUUAAAGUAUUAUUAUUAGGCGCUCAGGAAAGAGGGAAGAAGGAGGGUAUGACGUUUCGAGCGGAGCUCUUCGUCGGAAACAUAAGAGAAGGAAGAAGGAAAGAUCCCGAGGUGGGCGAACGGAGGGAAAAAAAACGCGACUGGUUUUUAAGAAGUAAACAUGCUGAAAGGCCGGAAGUUUUGGAUAACGGGGGCUAGGUUUUAAAGACAAAAGAGCGGAGAAAGGAAGGUUGGUAACAACUCGAAGAAAAAGAAAGAUAAUGUGUAUGUAUGUGUGAGUGUGUACGUGUGCGUGUGUGUAUGUGUGUGUGAGGCGAGAUAAGAAAAAAAUAUAUUUAUAUGUUAGUGCGUGCGUCUGUAUGUUAGUGUGUGUACGUAGGGCGAUAGGUAGUUAGUUAGUUAGUUAGUUAGUUAAUUUGGCUCAAAAGCAAAUAGCAAGGCCAUGUAGGGGGACAUGGAGUUAAGUACAGGGUGGUGUUCAUGUAAAGAGUUCAGGCCACUUGAGGUCCAGGGAGGCUUUGACAAAGCGGUCGUCGGCAUCUUCACCAUCUCGUCUGGCAGCUUGUUCCACGGAUCCGCAACCCGGACGGAGAAAGCUCCUCUCCUUCGAUUGAGAUGAAAUCGUCGCAGGUAGAGCUUUUCGGAAUGACCCCGCAGCCGACGCUCCGGAGCAGGAGUGAAGAACAGCUCUUUCGAGAGGUUACACUUCCCGCUUAUGAUGUUGUGGGCGAGAAUGAGAUCACCACGGCGGCGGCGUUUUUCAAGAGAAUAAAGGUCGAGCGUCCUCAGCCUUUCUUCGUAGGACAAAUUUUUGAGACCAUGAACCAUGCGGGUAGCCAGCCUCUGGACUCUUUCGAGGUGCUGUAUGUCUUUGAGGAGAUAAGGAGAAGAGGCUUGAAUCCCAUACUCCAAUAUGGGUCUCACCAGCGUGACAUAGAGUGGCAGGAAUAUGGCUCCUGUGAGCAUUCCGAAUGACCGUCGAAUCAAAAACAGAAUUCCGCGCGCUUUGUUGGCAGCAUGGACGCACUGGGCCGAAGGCGAAAAGAGGAAUCCACCAAGAUACCCAGGUCCUUUACCUGAUCGGUCCUCUCCAGCAGCAGACGACCCGGCUCGAAAUCAAGUUGAGCUGCAGGAGUAGAGCCGACAGGCAGAUGACAGCACUUUGACACGUUCAGACACAGGUCCCAAUCGUUAGACCACUUCCAAAUUUGGUGGAGGCAUCGACGAAGAUCCUCUAUACUACCGCGAGGAGCGACCAGUUUGAUAUCGUCGGCAAAUAGAAGGGUGUGUUGCGUGAGGUCGUCGGGCAAGUCAUUUAUGAAGACUAAGAACAACAAGGGCCCAAGCACUGAACCUUGAGGCACGCCACUGCUCGCACUGGAGACGUCGGACCGCGAACCAUUAACUUGAACUUGGAAGGAGCGAUCUGAGAGGAAGGCACCAACCCAUCGUACAAUAUCCGGAUGGAAACUAUAUGCUUGAAGCUUGACAAGUAGUAGGCGGUGGUUUACCGAGUCAAAAGCUUUGGCAAAGUCCAAUAAAACGAUGUCAACAGCAUCACUAUCAUCGAGGAUGCGCGUCACCAAUUCUUCCAUUACUAGUAAGUUGGUCAAGCAUGAUCUCUUCGGCACGAAGCCGUGUUGGGAAUAGCAGUUGACAUAGCAGUAGCAAGUGAGUAGUCAGUGGUAAAAGGAGGAAGGAGGGAAUGGGUAGGGGCGUAUGUAACGUGCCAGUGUGUGUGUUGAGUGGUAGUGUGUGUGUGUGUCCAGUGUGCGUAGUUGUAUGUAUGGCAAGUAAAUUUGAAGUGUGUGUAAGUGUAAUGUAUAUAUAUAUGCAAAUAUGUGUGUGUGAGUGCGUGGGAGUGGGUGUAUGUAUGUGUGUGCGUGUGUGUACAAAACGGGGGUAUUAAGGAAACAAACUGCAACUGAUGGAAAGAUGGAAAAGUGCUCCCGCGGUGACAGGCGUAAGAGAACCCCAAGAACACGCCGACCCCAGAUACGAACAGGAGAUCUAGUCGGUACCCACGGGCGUGGUGCAUGCAUGUGUGUAUGCGUGCGCGAACGCGCACAUGCAUGUAUGUGCGCGCGCCUGCGAGUGUGUGUGUAAGUGUGUGUGUGUGUGGAUGUGUGAGUGUGUCUGUGUGUAUGUCUGGGUGUCAGUGUGUCUGAAUGAAUGUAUGUAAGUAUGUGUGUGUAUAUGUGUGUGUAUAGAUGUAUGUCCGUGUGUAUGUGUGUAUGUGUAUGAGUGUGUAUGUAUGUACGUGUGUGUGUGUGUGGAAGUGUGUGUAUGUGCAUGUGUGUGCGCGUGCAUGCAAGUGUGUGAGUGAGUGUGUGUGUGUAUGUAUGUGUGAGUGUGUAUGUCUGUGUGUAUAGGAUGCAUGUAUGUGUAUGGGUGUAUGUAUGUGUGUGUGUGUAUGUAUGUAUGUGUACGUGCGUGUGUGUAUGCAUGUAUGCGUACAUGCGUGUAGGUGUGCGCGUGUGCAUGCAUGCAUGUGCGUAUGUAUGUGUGUGUGCGCGCAUGUGUGUAAGUAUAUAUGUAUGUGCGUAUAUGUGUGUGUAUGUGCGUACAUGUGUGUGUGUGCAUGCAUGUGUGUGUGUGUAGGUGUGUGUGUGUGUGUAGGUGUAUGUAUGUAUGUAUGUAUGUAUGUAUGUAUGUAUGUAUGUAUGGGUGUGUCCAUGUAUGUGUGUGUAUGCAUGUGUGUGUGUAUAGGUGUAUGUAUGUAUGUAUGGGUGUGUCCGUGUAUGUUUGUGUGUGUGUGUAUGUAUGUAUGGGUGAGGGCAUGAGUGUACGCAGGUGUGUGUGUACGUAUGUAAUAUAUGUAUGUAUGUAUGUGUGUGUGUGCGUGUGUAUGUGUGUGUGUGUGUGUGUGUGUGUGUGCGUGUAUAUGUUGGUGUGUGUGUAUGUGAGUAUGAGUGUAUGGGUGUGUGUCAUGCAUGUGUGUGUAUGUGAGUGUGAGUGUAUGGGUGUGUGUCAUGCAUGUGUGUGCGCGUGCAGGUGAGUGUGUGUGUAAGUAUGUGUGUGUGUAUGUAUGUGUGAGUGUGUAUGUGUGUAUGUCUGUGUGUAUGUAUGUGCGUAUAGGAGUAUGUAAGUAUGUGUGUGUGUAUGUGUAUGGGUGUAUGUAUGUAUGUAUGUAUGUGUGUAAGUAUAUGUGUGCGUAUGUAUGUGUAUGUGUAUGUGUGUGUGUUUAUGUAUGUGUGUAUGUAUGUGUGUAGGCGUGUGUGUAUAUAUAUAAUAUUAUAUUAUAUUAUAUUAUAUUAUAUUAUAUUAUAUUAUAUGAUAUGAUUGAACGCCACGCAUCCAUUUCCAAGUAAGUUUUAUCAUAAUUUUUCUGAUGCGCACUCUACAAGUAUCUCUUUUCUCCCCCUUUAUUCUUCUUUCUUUUUGUCUUUCUCCUCCUCCUCCCUUCACCGUUCUCUUUCUCUCCCUCUCUCUCCCUCACUCUUCCUCCAUGAUUUUCUCUCACAUGCCCAGCGGCUAUCUCUCUCUUUUUCCCUCUUGCUUUACAAAAGACAACUCGCUUUUGCCUGUCUCCUGUCAAGCUUGUUUCUCCAGAGUUCACCAUUUCACCUAGUAAUGGCUUAAUAGCCCUUACUGUUUUGUUUUUACUGUUUUGUUCUUACUGUCCUGUUUUUGUUACCAUUUUAACCUCCACAAAUCCCAAAUUUUAUUUAAUUUGCUUUGCGGGAACGACUGUUUUAACGAAGUCGCGUCUUGACCCAACGUUUGAAACGCGGAGUAGAUAAACAGGGGACAACUGAUGAAGGGAUUGCUCUUUAUGUUACCUGUCACGUUUCUCUGUUUGUUUCUUUCGUUGUUCAAAAACAAAAGUUCGUUUUCUAUGUUUUCGUUUUUUUAUGUUCUCGUUAUUCAUUUUGUUCACGUUUUUUGACGCCCUGAACCCAUAUAUGCAUGUAUAUAUACAUAUAUAUAUACCCAUAUAUGCUUGUAUAUAUACAUAUAUAUAUAUACUGAGUCGCCAUGAUAGAUCGAUAGCCACUACACACAUUUUUUCUCUCCUUGUUUCUUUCUGUGUUCCUUUCUGUGGAAGUGUAGGUUCGAAACGUAAAAGACUUUUCCAAUUCCCGUACGUUAUACUAAUACAUCUGUUUAUUUUCUACACCACCUGUCUUCGUCUUUGUUUUUUUCGUGAAUUCUCCCUAUAUGUAGGUAUGUACAUAUAUGUAUGUAUAUAUGCAUAUAUAUAUAUAUAUAUAUAUAUAUAUAUAUAUAUAUAUAUAUAUAUAUAUAUAUAUAUAUAUAUAUAUAUAUAUAUAUAUAUACAAUAAAAGCAAUUAAGAUUCAAGUCAAUUCUAAUGAAUUCACUUGAAUAUGGUACUUAACUUAGAUGCACCAGAAAACUAUAUGGUGUUAACCAAUACAGUAGUGUGGGGUGAUUAUAAACGAGAAAAGAAGCAACAAGAAUGGAUUAGUUUUUAGUACAAUUGUUUCAUACAAAGACAGGCUUUAUUAAAAGUUGCAAAUAUUGCAGCAGAUAAAAGUGUCCUGUACUCAUCAGCUAAAAUACAUAUGAGUUCUCUAAACAUCUUAGUGGGUGAGGCUACACUCAUGAGGUAUUGGAGAUAAUUUCAUUAAAAGCAGAUUCAGGUUGUAAACAGACUUCCAAAGUUCUUUAAUGAUGAUGCACAGUCUUAUCACAGGUUUUAAAAAAGUUUAUUAGUUUGACAGAGAAGUUUAAUCCAUCCAUAGUGUAGGUGUAAAUUUCCAGAGAUAUGAGGAGGUAUUUCAUACUCACAGACGAUGAAUUUAUCCAUGGUUAAUCCACAAUGAGGUGGGUGUAAUUUCAUGCUAUAUUAUAAGGUAUUUGCCACAUUACUGUUCUCUUCACAAAACUGCUAUGUUAUGACUUCUAAAGGCUGAAGGAAUUUUGUGGAGCAAAGAAAAGAAAAGGAAAGAGAAGAGAAGAAAAAAGAAAGGAAAAAAAAGAGAAAAGAAAAAAAGAAAAAAGAAAAAAGUGAAGAAGAAAAAAAGAAAAUAAGAAAAAAGAAAAAAGAAGAAAGAAGAAAGAAAAAAGAAAAGAAAAGAAAAAGAAAAAGCGCCCACAUAGAGUAUACUGUGACAACUGAGAUGGGAAAGGGUCGCAGGUAACCCUCUACACAGAAAAAAGUCUCUUAAAUAUGGAGACGGUCAGGCUGGCUAAGGAUUUGCAGGAAUCUAAGAACUAUAAGGAGAAUAUUAUUUUUGACCAGUAAACAGCUAUUAAUUGCCAACCUGACAUAGUUAAAGCCGAUAUGAGAAUCUAAAGAGAGAACAGGGUAAGGGAUUGAGGGGUCAAAGGCUAUCAUUAAAGGGAAAUAAAUUAAGAGAAAAUAAGUGCAAUACUAGAAAAGAGGUCAUUUAAUUUUAUUUAUUUAUUACUGUUACUGUAUUAUAUUGUUGCUGUUACUAUCUAUACAUUGACAGACUAUAGGUUUAUACUUAGGAGUCAGUUUACAAGGUGUGAGGGAAUUGCUUAUUAUAUUGAAAUUUCUUAUACUACUUUCAAGGGAGUAGCAUUACUUAUUAAAUUUUGUAAUAGAAUUAUGAAGUAUUAUUAACUUAUUUUAUUUAAGUUGUGUUACCUAAAUUAGAUUAAAAAUUAGAUUAAAUUAAAAAUUUAAAUUUAAAAUUAUAAAGUCAAUUAAAACUUCAUUUAAGCAACUUACAAGUACUAUUUGUUUCUAUGUGUUCAAAAACAGGUACAGUUAUAAAGAAAGAGAUAACCAUAAUGUAACAGUUCGCAGAUAUCUAUUUAAAAAAUAUAUUAAAGUUAUGCUUUACUAGUAAAAAACAAGCUAGAUCUAUCUAUCUAACUCCUUACGAUUAUUCUAUACGGUUAUUCAUUUAAAAUAUUUUAGAGUCUUCAAUUUUCCGUGAACACAAAAUUGACCUAAUUCUAUAUGGUUAUUUAACAAACUCUUAUUUUUUCUAUGCAUUAGAAUUUCAUACGUCUCCAUGGAGCAGAGUUGGCAACCAACCCUAUUAUUUUUAUACGGCAUUGCUCUUCUAACUAUUUCCCAAUUAAGGUUAUAAUUACUAUUAUUAUUUUUGAGUUCCCAGAUCUUAUUUGAAAGCGUGGUGGUACCAGCUUUAUGACAUAAGUUAAAAGAUGAGAUAUGGUUUCUAACUCUUUCCUUAAAAUUUACAGUACAACCAAUGUAAAAAAAAAUUGUUAUUCUCAGUAGUUAUGGUACAUUUAUAGAUUACGUUAUUUACCCCGCAUAGACCAGGUGCCGGACAUUUUGACCUGAUUCUACAAUUACACGUAGGAGGGUCAACUUCAGAUGUUGGAUUAUUCAUGGAUAGAUGUCUCAUGUUCCUAUUAUUUUGAUUAUCAUGAGUAUAUUUAUCGUUAUUAUUAUUAUUAUUAUAGUUAGUGCUGCUAUCUAAAGCAGUGUUAUUAUUUAUUGAUCUAUUUGCUCCAUCCUUUAGAUCUCAAGUCCUACCAUGAUUACUUACAUUAUUGGUAUUGUUACUGUUAUUGUUAUUGUUAGUAUUUUUAUCUGAACGUAUAUUGUUGUUCAUGUUGGUAUUAUUUUUAUCUUUCCUGGCUAGCUUAAUGUUAUUAUUAUUAAUCUUAGCUAUUAAAGUGGACAUAUUUGGGAGGGUUGAAUAAGAAAUCCUAACUGUUUUUUUAGAAAUAAUUCUAUGAUAUCUAUGAGAGAUUGGGAAAUUUUUUUCUAGAAUUACUUUGAAUUUGCUCUGUAUAUCCGAUAGAAUCGCACAGUUGAAAGGAAUAUUCAGCCAGAUUAUAUCUUUCUUAUUAAAUUUCCUUGAAUUAGAAUUAGGGUUCGUUGAAUUAUUAAUAUUCCCACCAGAGUCAUUGUAUUUAUUACUAUUAUUUGUAUGCUUCUUUGAUUUAUCUAAUUUGAUUUUAUCCGCGUUACUUAUGCUUUGGUCUAUGUUUCUAUUUGUAUGAUUGGGCUUGUACGCUAGAUUUGCAGUUACCUUAAAUCUACUUCUACUUCUAUUUCGGGCGUUGUCUAUAUUGCUGCUUACGUGGUUACUGAUAUCUUCACUAUUAGGAAUAUGUAAGCUCCCCUUAUCAAUAAAGGUAAUCUUUUGGUUGUAUCCUGCCCUAGAUAACGCCGCAUUAUAAUGCUCAGAAUGAGAGUUAAAUAUAUCAUUAUUGGAUGAUAAUUUUGAGAUUCUUAGUGAAAUAUUUCCGACUAAAGAUUCAAUUAUAUUUGGGGGAUGAUUGGAUAAUUUAUUUACGUAUCUCGUGAUUUCACCUUCCUUUCUAAAUGGGUAAUGCAGCUUGGAGUUAAGGUCUAACGUAAUAUCUAGGAAGUUAACUAUUUUAGUGCCAGGUUCAUACGUUAUGCUAAGGUUGAAAUCCUUAAAGAACUUAUUAAUUUUCUUUCUAAUCCUUUCUAUACUAGAUUUAUUAUUAC
rnacentral:lncRNA from 1 species